rnacentral:rRNA from 1 species
UAGGGAAUCUUCGGCAAUGGGGGGAACCCUGACCGAGCAACGCCGCGUGAGUGAAGAAGGUUUUCGGACCGUAUUGCUCCGUUGUUAAGGAAGAACGAGUGUGAGAAUGGAAAGUUCAUACUGUGACGGUACUUAACCAGAAAGGGACGGCUAACUACGUGCCAGCAGCCGCUGUAAUACGUAGGUCCCGAGCUUUGUCCGGAUGUAUUGGGCGUAAAGAGAGCGCAGGCGGUUAGAUAAGUCUGAAGUUAAAGGCAGUGGCUCAACCAUUGUAGGCUUUGGAUACUGUUUAUCUUGAGUGCAGAAGGGGACAGUGGAAUUCCAUGUGUAGCGGUGAAAUGCGUAGAUAUAUGGAGGAACACCAGUGGCGAAAGCGGCUAUCUGGUCUGUGACUGACGCUGAGGAUCGAAGGCGUGGGGAGCGAACAGG